CUAAAGAUCAUGCAUGCAAGUAAAUCUUUCUUUUUUUUCUGUCUUUCUUUCCUUCUUUCUUCCUUUGUUUCUUUCCUUUUUUUUUUUUUUUUUUUUUUUUUUUUUUUUUUUUUUUGAGGCGGAGUCUCGCUCUGUCGCCCGGACUGGAGUGCAGUGGCCGGAUCUCAGCUCACUGCAAGCUCCGCCUCCCGGGUUUGCGCCAUUCUCCCGCCUCAGCCUCCCGAGUAGCUGGGACUACAGGCGCCCGCCACCUCACCCGGCUAGUUUUGUAUUUUAGUAGAGACGGGAUUUCACUGUGUUAGCCAGGAUGGUCUCGAUCUCCUGACCUCGUGAUCCGCCCGUCUCGGCCUCCCAAAGUGCUGGGAUUACAGGCUUGAGCCACCGCGCCCGGCCGCCCUUUUCUUUUCUUUAUUGAGACAGAUCUCCCUUUGUUGCGCAGCCUGCUUUCAAACUCCUGGGCUCAAGCAACACUCCUGCCUCACGCCUCCCAAAGUGCUGGGAUUACAGGCCUGAGCCACCAUCUUUUGCUUUCAAUGGUAAGAUACAGAAACACAGUGGAGGUGAAAGCAACUCCAUCUUGGAUGCUAAUCUGCCAAGGAAUGCGUCAGCAGCCCUCGAGACCAGUGCAGUGCAAUUACAGUGGCACGAGAUGUGGUGUACACUCCCCGGAUGAUCUUGCUGCUCACGUUUGCUGUGGUUUCAAUCAUCGAGUCAGGUCAGCUCUUCAUAACCUCGUAAAUACAAUUCUAGCAGAUACCGGAACGAAGGAACAAAUGAAAACUGACCCGUUCUUAAAUGUUCCUCUUCACAGACAAAAGAGAAGAGAAGAGAAGGAAAAUUGAAUUUCUUUCCAAUAAAUAAGGGCAUUGGCUUGAUUGUACCUUCACCC
rnacentral:lncRNA from 1 species